rnacentral:rRNA from 1 species
UACAGAGGUCCCGAGCGUUGUUCGGAUUCAUUGGGCGUAAAGGGUGCGUAGGUGGCGCUGUAAGUGGGGUGUGAAAUCCCGGGGCUUAACUCCGGAACUGCCUUUGAUACUGAAGAUCUUGAGUUCGGGAGAGGUGAGUGGAACUGCGAGUGUAGAGGUGAAAUUCGUAGAUAUUCGCAAGAACAUCAGUGGCGAAGGCGCUCACUGGCCCGAUACUGACGCUGAGGCACGAAAGCGUGGGGAGCAAACAGG